rnacentral:rRNA from 1 species
CCGUAAACGAUGUCAACUAGCCGUUGGGAGCCUUGAGCUCUUAGUGGCGCAGCUAACGCAUUAAGUUGACCGCCUGGGGAGUACGGCCGCAAGGUUAAAACUCAAAUGAAUUGACGGGGGCCCGCACAAGCGGUGGAGCAUGUGGUUUAAUUCGAAGCAACGCGAAGAACCUUACCAGGCCUUGACAUCCAAUGAACUUUCUAGAGAUAGAUUGGUGCCUUCGGGAACAUUGAGAC